rnacentral:rRNA from 1 species
UACGUAAGGUGCAAGCGUUAAUCGGAAUUACUGGGCGUAAAGCGUGCGCAGGCGGUUCGGAAAGAAAGAUGUGAAAUCCCAGGGCUCAACCUUGGAACUGCAUUUUUAACUACCGGACUAGAGUAUGUCAGAGGGAGGUGGAAUCCACGUGUAGCAGUGAAAUGCGUAGAUAUGUGGAGGAACACCGAUGGCGAAGGCAGCCUCCUGGGAUAAUACUGACGCUCAUGCACGAAAGCGUGGGGAGCAAACAGG